rnacentral:rRNA from 1 species
UACGGGGGGGCAAGCGUUGUUCGGAAUUACUGGCGUAAAGGGCUCGUAGGCGGCCAACUAAGUCAGACGUGAAAUCCCUCGGCUUAACCGGGGAACUGCGUCUGAUACUGGAUGGCUUGAGUUUGGGAGAGGGAUGCGGAAUUCCAGGUGUAGCGGUGAAAUGCGUAGAUAAUCUGGAGGAACACCGGUGGCGAAGGCGGCAUCCUGGACCAAUACUGACGCUGAGGAGCGAAAGCCAGGGGAGCAAACGGG